CCUAUUGUACAAGAAAUCAUUUUCAUCCGUUGUAAAAUUGAGUGAACUCUUUGUGCUGCACAUCAUUAUGACUUUAUUUUGAAAGAAAGGAAGUUACUACCCAUUAUAGACAAAUCUUACUAUGAUUUUUGUUUAGAUUUUCUUUUUUACAUAUGUUGUAAAAUUAACCACACAACUUAUAUCAAAUAUGUUGUGAAAUAAUAUUGCAACUAUUAUAGUGUACACAAAUGUAGUGAGAUCUAUAGCUAUGCAUAAAAACAAUCAGGAAUUCUUACAGAUCAAAUCUGUACUGGUCUUCCUUUUAUGAUCACAUCUUUGUAUCCAGAUUUCAUAACUAACGCUUUGUACAUGGGAGACUGAACAAAUCUUUUCAUCGGAUCAUCUACCAUAAGCAUGUAUCCAAUGACUGUACAUAGAGAGUCAACUAUCCACAGCACUGAAAUAUUGCAUAACAAUCAUGGUAUGAUGAUAGGUGGCCUUUCUAGACAGGUUCUACAACACACAUUCCUUUCUCGAGGGAGACAUGGUCACUAUAGACAGGUGGCCUUUAUAGAGAUGUCUCCACUGAGGCAGGUUUGACUGUAUUUUUAUGAAAUAAAGCCAUGAGCAAUUGCACUGGAGCAAAUGUUGGAUCACUGUCUAUUAAUGUAAGGCUUUGUUCAGAUAUGAUGCAACAAUAUCUUUAUUAAUUAUUUUUUACAAUGAUGUAAAGUGUGAUACGUGUCCCAUUUCUGUAUCUUAUAACACAGUGCCCGGUGAAUACGUGCAGGACCUUUACUGCAUGCAGUUACCAUUCAAUAACACAUAAAACAGCGUUUUGUUAUUUUUGCAUCGGUUUGCGGUGUCAUAUCUGAACAAGCCUUUACUGUAACUCUUGAAAACAGGUCUGUUAAUAGUACCUCACACUUCUUGUUUGUGAUAGCCUACUUUUAUAUACAAUCAUGUGAAAGAAAAUUAGAAUAAUUUUUACAUAAUAGUGAAUAAUGUCAUUCAUAUUUUGUUAUCAUGUAUAUGCAUAGAAAUAUAUUAUUACAUAUAAUAAAUGUCAUGAUGUAUAUUAAUAUAUAUAUUAAUAGUUUAGGUAUGAUUCAGAAUGGCAUUUAUAAAUGAAUUUGAUAUAUUGUCUGUUGAGAGCCAGAAGGGCGCUAACUCUGUGUUUCAGUCUAUGAUUCAACGCCCCUUCUGACUUCAAACAGACAGUAUAGGUAAGCUCCUUGUUGAUGAGACAUGAUUCAAGGUGCUAGAUGAUUGUUGGAUGGAAAACAUGAUUUCUCAAACAGAGAAUGAAUUUAAACAUAUUUGUGGCUUACACACCCAGUAAGCAUUACAUUUAUAAAAGAGAAUGUAUUAUUGAUUAUCUUGUGUAUGAAUUAAUUCAAUAUUUGGUGAUACAUGUAUAUUGCUUUGAUCUUAUUUUUAAGAGAUAUGAAGUAAAUUGAAUUUCAAUGAUUUGAAAAUGGCAUUGAGGGAGAGCGCAAUGAGUUUGGAGACAGGUGAAUUGUAUUUUGUAUUUCUUGGUGUGCCAACUGCAAUGGUCAGUAAAAAGAGAAUCACACAACUACUCAGAACAAAAAUGUUAACAUCGAAGUAAAGUUUCUAGUUUCAAGGAUAAUUGAGCAAUUUUCUUAUUCUUUGAUUGAUUCAAUUUAAUUCAUCUAUUACUGGUACACUCAAGGAAUUAAAAGUGGGCCAAGAGAACUGUUAGUCAGUUUAUACCAAAGAAAAUGAGCUAGCUCGGUCAAAUGAAAAGGUACAAGAUAAUGUACAAAAUGAAAAGUUACAUAGUUUUGUGGCAUUGAGGUACAUUGAAGAACCAUAUCAUCAGGGGGUGGAGAUUUCCAACUUUUUAUUCACUAAUACAUGUAUCACCAACCAACUUUUAUGCAUUUUGCAUGUAUACUGGAUAGUGGAUACAUCUUUUCAUGCCAGAACAUUUUGUUAAGCUAUGGUAUAAUCAUAUUUAGUGCAAUAAACCAAAUGAAGAAUCAUGGAAAAAUGAAGCCUAUUUGAAAUUUAUAAUACGAGUUUAAAUAAUUAAAGAUAAGAAAUAUCUUAUUCAUUGUAUAUCUGCAAAGCACUUUAAAAGAGACAUUGUAGAUGUCUAAACAUAUAAACAAAGAAUAUUAUCUUUGUUUAUCAUUUUGCUCAUCUUUGUGAUUAUGGAAUGUAAAUCUGUAGUUCAACAAAUUUAAUUAUGACUUCUGAUAUUUAUAUAAGUGUCCUUUUCAAAAAUGUCUCAUGGAUAUUGCUGUGGACUACAAGCUUGUAGUGUGCAUCAAUAGGACUUUGCAUUAUGUUUGAGUGUGUGUGUGUCCUCUGUGUCUAACUUCAAACAUGAGAAAAUAAAACAAAAUAUUCAGGGAAAGUGUGCAUAUUUAAACAAUAGCGUAAUAUACAUGUUCAUAGAAUGAAUGUUAUGCAGGUUUUAUAAUUAGAACAUUCCAUUGAGUGGUUUUUUGAAACUGAAUAUAUCAGAAUUGCUUUACUUGCCAACCAGGCCAGUUCAGAAUGCAAUUUCUGUAAUGUAAAAUAGUCAUUUCUACAUUAUCUUCUUAUGUUCUUGGGCAUUGGUACAAUUUACCUUGCCUAUUUCAAUCGUGAAGAUUCUUUCAGUCUCGUCUGAGGGCGGCAGGUGCAAUACACCGGAUUUACACCCUACACUUACACCAUAUUGAGUUAACAUGUGUAGGAUUUGAAAGACUCCAAGUACAGUAAAAACCCAAGGGAAACGCAAAAACUAAAAAUGGCCACUGUAGAUGGUUGGCCUUUCUGGACAGGUUCAUCCACACAUGUCCUCCCUAGAGGAAGACAGUAAAGGUGACCACUGUAGACAGGUGACAUUGAUGUAGAGGUGGCUGCAAAGACAUGAUAAGGAUUGUUUUCCUUGCCUUUAUAUUCUUGUGUCGCUACACUUUCCCACCUACUGUGUAACACGUGCUGUGGCUCUCGGGUAGCAGUUGGCAGAUGGAGGAACUUUUCCUUGCCCUAACAUCCAUGCUUUUUUUUAUUUGUCCUUGACAAUCUUGAAGCUUGUCGAGGCUUGCCUGCCAUAGCAACAAGUAAUCUAUGCAGGCUGGAUUCAAAGUAUUGUGAUCCAUUCAUUAAUAACGAGUUGAUGGAAAAUGUUGUCCUUGGAUCCUCAGGAAAGAAACAUCCAUGAAUUUGAAUAUGUUUAUAGUAAACCAGUCUGUUUAGCUAGAACCAUGUAAUGCCUUUUAAUACGACUACUCCAAAUAAUAUGUAUAAUUAUGAACUUCUGCAUACCAUAUGUGACGUGAUAGAAUUUAUUCAUGAAUCAUGUGCUACUGCCCAUUUGUAAGAGAGGCAACAUUAGCACUCUUUCGUAAAGGUCAACCAUCUGUAUGUUCGCAUCCAAAGUUAAGAUUUUCGCUCCGAAGAUAUUACUGUGUAUCUGAUAGGUAUACUGACAAUUGAACAGUAGCAUGAUCAUCAUUGGUUGCAGUAUUCAUGUAUUUCCGAUAGUAAUCUCCUCCAUUCUCUUAUCUUUUCAAAAAGUUUAUUGGUUGUGACUGUGAAUUCUAGUUAAACAAGUACAUUGGUACACCUUACUGUUGAAUACAGAUGUAUAUGUUAUUUCAAGGGAAAUCUUCUACAAAGGAUAACCAAAACAUGUUGAUUUUUAUGUAAAGUUGACCAGUGUUGGAGAUAAUGGAGAUGAUAUAGCACUAACAUUGGUUUAAAUUUUCAAAUUUCACAUUAUGGAAAAGUUUUUUUUUUCCCAAACAUUCUGUGUGAUUGCUGAGCUCUUUCUAUUUUUCUAUCCCUUGGGAUCCAAGAAUCAUUAUCUGUGAUUAAAUUAUUUCAAAUGACUUGAGA